GACGAACGCUGGCGGCGGGCUUAACACAUGCAAGUCGAACGGAAAGGCCCUGCGUUUGUGGGGUGCUCGAGUGGCGAAAGGGUGAGUAACACGUGAGUAACCUUCCCUUGACUUUGGGAUAACUUCAUGAAACUGGGGCUAAUACCGGAUAGGAGCUCCUGCGGCAUGGUGUGGGUUGGAUAGUUUCGGCGGUUGGGGAUGGACUCGCGGCUUAUCAGCUUGUUGGUGGGGUAGUGGCUUACCAAGGCUUUGACGGGUAGCCUGCCUGAGAGGGUAAACGGCCACAUUGGGACUGAGAUACGGCCCAGACUCCUACGGGAGGCAGCAGUGGGGAAUAUUGCACAAUGGGCGGAAGCCUGAUGCAGCAACGCCGCGUGCGGGAUGACGGCCUUCGGGUUGUAAACCGCUUUCGCCUGUGACGAAGCGUGAGUGACGGUAAUGGGUAAAGAAGCACCGGCUAACUACGUG
rnacentral:rRNA from 1 species